ACGGAGGGUGCAAGCGUUACUCGGAAUUACUGGGCGUAAAGGAUGCGUAGGCGGGAAAUCAAGUCGAAUGUGAAAUCCAACGGCUCAACCGGUGAACUGCUUUCGAAACUGAUUACCUAGAAUAUGGGAGAGGUAGAUGGAAUUAGUGGUGUAGAGGUAAAAUCCGUAGAUAUCGGGAGGAAUACCGAUUGCGAAGGCGAUCAACUGGAACAUAAUUGACGCUGAGGCGCGAAAGCGUGGGGAGCAAACAG
rnacentral:rRNA from 1 species